GACGAACCGUCCUAACGUUGUUCGGAAUCACUGGGCUUAAAGGGCGCGUAGGCGGGUCAGCAAGCCCGGGGUGAAAUCUUUCGGCUUAGCCGGAAAGUGCCUCGGGGACUGCUGGUCUUGAGGGAGGUAGGGGCACGCGGAACUUCUGGUGGAGCGGUGAAAUGCGUUGAUAUCAGAAGGAACGCCGGUGGCGAAAGCGGCGUGCUGGAUCUCUUCUGACGCUGAGGCGCGAAAGCCAGGGAGCAAACGGG
rnacentral:rRNA from 1 species